rnacentral:rRNA from 1 species
CAGCAGCCACGGGAAUACGAAGGGGGCUAGCGUUGUUCGGAAUUACUGGGCGUAAAGGGCGCGUAGGCGGCCAUUCAAGUUAGAUGUGAAAGCCCUGGGCUCAACCUAGGAAUUGCAUUUGAUACUGUUUGGCUUGAGUUCGGGAGAGGUGAGUGGAAUUCCCAGUGUAGAGGUGAAAUUCGUAGAUAUUGGGAAGAACACCAGUGGCGAAGGCGGCUCACUGGACCGACACUGACGCUGAGGCGCGAAAGCGUUGGGAGCAAACAGGAUUAGAUACCCGCGUAGUCCCUGUCUCUUAUAC